CGGAGCCACUGCGCCUGCGCCCCGGGGCCACUUCCUGUGUCGCCCGGAAGGCAGCGAAGAAAGAGAAAGCCUUCCCCCUCUCGCGAGACGAUGACACAUGCGCAGAAGCGUUAUUGACGCCGAGAAGCAGUCCCCGUGCCAGCAAUUUGCGGAUUGGUCGUAAGUUGGUGUGGCCCGCCUGCAAGUUGCCAAGCAACCGUUUUAAUAAAUUCGCCGCUGCCGCUCCCGCCCGCGGAGGAUAGUUAGUAUUUUCUCUCGAGAAUUAAAUGUCUAGCAGAAUUCCGAUUGCCGCCAAUUCAAGUCCAAGGCCAUCCUCGGAGAAGCUGAUGGAAUGCUGCCUCGGGCUGCGGUGAAGUCCGCCAGCCGGGGGCCCUGCCCUGGUCUCCUGUCUGCCGUCCGGGGCUCUUUGGGCCUCAGUUUCCUUUUGUAAAAUUGGCAUAACGAUGCCUGACUUCAGGAAAGUUCUUAAUUGGGGUCGAAUGAAGUAACACACAUGAAAGACUUUUGCCAAGUGUAAGAUUCCAUAAGAAUGCUAAGGGGUUGUUAGGACACACACAUGGACGCGUGCCAACUCCAAAGAUUUCAGCUGGUGGCUGAAUUUCUGAAGGAAAAGGAGAGGGAUCUCCUGACUCUGUGGGACAUACACUGAACCUUCUCCUCUGCUAUUCAGUGUGGUCUGCGAACCAGGAGCCUUAAUAUCUGCAGGGGACUUUCAGACCCGCAAGACCUUUUUAUAAAAUGCAGAUCGAGAAAGGUCCAGGGGGUGCCGAGCAAAUUCCCAGCUGAGCUGGCCGCACCGAGUCUAGAUGAGAAAGGAAAGCGAGGCUGAGCGAAGCAACCUCCUUGUCAAGACGUCAUACAGCCGUUAAGCAGCAGAGCCAGUGAAGCCUGUCCGGUACCGAAGUCCCCCAGCAUAAUCUUGGAAUCGUCUCUGACAAGUACUCCCUCCUCAAGGACACCUUUCCUCAUUCUUUCCCAAAUGGCUCAUCUCAUACCAUCGCUUCUUGAAGACUGCUUCUCAUAUUCUGCCUCAUAAGACGGCAGGCAUUUGCCUCAUCUUGCUUGCUAGACUUUAAACUGUGUCUUACUCCCGUGCGUAUCCUUUGCAGCACCAACCUCUCAGUGUCUUACACACAGCUGGCGUGAAAUCAGCGUUUGUUGAAUUAUAUUUCCCACACCUGAGGAAUACUCCAGAAACCUCUAUCAUGAUACAGAGUCUUGCACAAUCCUGGUGCUUCAUCAUAUUUUUAAAACGAUCUUUCUGCUGUUUCGGGGGGACUAAUUGACAAGCUGCUUUUGCAUCGACCCCCCGGGGAAGAAUAAAAGCACGUGCUCGCGAAUGUAGCAACAGCGAACGUUCCUUGACUUUUCUAAAGUGUCAUUCCAACAGUUUACAGGAGUUCUCUCAUUUAGUCCUCACAAUGAGACUACGGGGAUAUUAUUCUUGUUAUCUCCAAUUCGCCGUUGACAAAACCAAGGCCAGCCACACAAGAAGCGAGUAGAAGGGGGAGUGAGAUGCAAGCCGCGUGCCCCCCAAAUCCGACUCGGCAGAUGGCAGAUGGCAGAUGGCAGCAAAUCACUGCCACUAGCAGUGGCAUCUUUUCCACUGGCAACAGGAAGGGGGAUCAAAACAACCUAAAAGCAGGGAUAGAAUUAUCGAGCCAUAAAGUGUAGGCAAAACAUCAUUAAAAAUAAAACAAUUAACAUUAAA